UCAUCGAGGCCUGGCUCUUGCC
rnacentral:siRNA from 1 species